UACGACUGAUGUGGAUGAUACACUCACUAUGGAUAUGAUGAUAUAAUAGUGGACCAUCUAUUAGUUAAGGUGAACGAUACAUUCUUUAAAAUUGGACCAUUUUGUUGUAUAAGUUUUAAGAGUUCGAGUUUUAAAUCAUUCGGAUAUGCGUCCUUUUAAUAUUUAAUGUAUAAUGUUUAUAAAAAAAACGAAAAAAAUAAAAUAUUCCAAGCAUACAUUAUGUGUCGGUGUAGAUGUACAUAAUGGAUCUA
rnacentral:lncRNA from 1 species